UCGAACGAAGCAUAGGAGUGGAAUUUUUCGGAAGGAAACAACUAUGACUGAGUGGCGGACGGGUGAGUAACGCGUGGGUAACCUGCCUCAUACAGGGGGAUAACAGUUAGAAAUGACUGCUAAUACCGCAUAAGCGCACAAAACCGCAUGGUUUGGUGUGAAAAACUGAGGUGGUAUGAGAUGGACCCGCGUCUGAUUAGCUAGUUGGAGAGGUAACGGCUCACCAAGGCAACGAUCAGUAGCCGACCUGAGAGGGUGACCGGCCACAUUGGGACUGAGACACGGCCCAAACUCCUACGGGAGGCAGCAGUGGGGAAUAUUGCACAAUGGGGGAAACCCUGAUGCAGCAACGCCGCGUGAGUGAAGAAGUAUUUCGGUAUGUAAAGCUCUAUCAGCAGGGAAGAAGAGAGACGGUACCUGACUAAGAAGCCCCGGCUAACUACGUGCCAGCAGCCGCGGUAAUACGUAGGGGGCAAGCGUUAUCCGGAUUUACUGGGUGUAAAGGGAGCGUAGACGGCUUGAUAAGUCUGAAGUGAAAGGCCAAGGCUUAACCCUGGAAACUGCUU
rnacentral:rRNA from 1 species